GAUGAACGCUGGCGGCGUGCCUAACACAUGCAAGUCGAACGGAGUUCUUAAGGAAUGCGACUUCGGUCAAAUGACUUUUGAACUUAGUGGCGGACGGGUGAGUAACGCGUGAGCAACCUGCCUUUCAGAGGGGGAUAACAUUUGGAAACAGAUGCUAAUACCGCAUAAGAUUACAGUACCGCAUGAUACAGUGAUCAAAGGAGCAAUCCGCUGAAAGAUGGGCUCGCGUCCGAUUAGAUAGUUGGUGAGGUAACGGCUCACCAAGUCGACGAUCGGUAGCCGGACUGAGAGGUUGAACGGCCACAUUGGGACUGAGACACGGCCCAGACUCCUACGGGAGGCAGCAGUGGGGAAUAUUGCACAAUGGGCGAAAGCCUGAUGCAGCAACGCCGCGUGAGGGAAGACGGUUUUCGGAUUGUAAACCUCUGUUUUCGGUGACGAACAAAUGACGGUAACCGAGUAGGAAGCCACGGCUAACUACGUGCCAGCAGCCGCGGUAAUACGUAGGUGGCAAGCGUUAUCCGGAAUUACUGGGUGUAAAGGGAGCGCAGGCGGGAUAGCAAGUCAGCUGUGAAAACUAUGGGCUCAACCCAUAAACUGCAGUUGAAACUGUUAUUCUUGAGUGGAGUAGAGGCAAGCGGAAUUCCGAGUGUAGCGGUGAAAUGCGUAGAUAUUCGGAGGAACACCAGUGGCGAAGGCGGCUUGCUGGGCUCUAACUGACGCUGAGGCUCGAAAGUGUGGGGAGCAAACAGGAUUAGAUACCCUGGUAGUCCACACUGUAGACG
rnacentral:rRNA from 1 species